GCAAGUCGAGCGGCGAGGGGGGCUCCGGUCCCCGAGAGCGGCGGACGGGUGAGUAACACGUGGACAACCUGCCCCCCGGUUCGGGAUAGCCCAGGGAAACCUGGAUCAAUACCGGAUGCGAGGGCGGCCGCACAAGCGGCCGUCGGGAAAGGCGCUUCGGCGCCGCCGGGGGAUGGGUCCGCGUCCCAUUAGCUAGACGGUGGGGUAACGGCCCACCGUGGCGAUGAUGGGUAGCCGGCCUGAGAGGGUGGACGGCCACAUUGGAACUGAGACACGGUCCAGACUCCUACGGGAGGCAGCAGCUAAGAAUCUUCCGCAAUGGGCGAAAGCCUGACGGAGCGGAACCGCCGCGUGAACGAAGAAGGCCGUGAGGUUGUAAAGUUCUUUUCGGGGAGGGGGAACGAGGCUGCCAGGCAAUGGGCGGCCGAUGACGUGAAUCCCGGAAUAAGCCCCGGCUAACUACGUGCCAGCCGCCGC
rnacentral:rRNA from 1 species